rnacentral:misc_RNA from 1 species
CACAACUUCAAGCUAAAUAAUCUUUUAGUCUCAAAUCAAAUAAAAUACUUCUAACAGAUGCGGAGUUCUAGAUUUCAAAAUAAUAACAUAAAUUUAUACAUACUGUGAAUCUAGACCUGCGAAGAAAAAAACAGUUUAAUCACAAAAGGAAAAGUCCUCCUGUAACCUGAAAAAAAUGAUAAUUAACUGAAAGUCACUGCAGUGGCUGGACGGAGGAGGAAGACUGACACAGCUCACUAAUUAACCAAAAGUCACUGCGGUGGUUGGGCAGAGAAUGAAGGCUGACCCGGCUCACCUAUGCCAAUUCUG